rnacentral:rRNA from 1 species
CGGUCCCUACGGGGCGCAGCAGUGGGGAAUAUUGGGCAAUGGGCGCAAGCCUGACCCAGCAACGCCGCGUGAAGGAAGAAGGCUUUCGGGUUGUAAACUUCUUUUAUGAGGGACGAAAGAAAUGACGGUACCUCAUGAAUAAGCCACGGCUAACUACGUGCCAGCAGCCGCGGUAAUACGUAGGUGGCAAGCGUUAUCCGGAUUUACUGGGUGUAAAGGGCGUGUAGGCGGGACUGGAAGUCAGAUGUGAAAAUUAUGGG